UACGGGGGGGGGCAAGCGUUGUUCGGAAUUACUGGGCGUAAAGGGCUCGUAGGCGGCCAACUAAGUCGGAUGUGAAAUCCCCCAGGCCUAACCUGGGAAUGCAUCCGAUACUGGAUGGCUUUGAAUCCGGGAGAGGGAUGCAGAAUUCCAGGUGUAGCGGUGAAAAUGCGUAGAUAUCUGGAGGAAUACCGGUGGCGAAGGCGGCAUCCU
rnacentral:rRNA from 1 species